rnacentral:tRNA from 1 species
UGCAGAUUUAGAUUGGUAUAGAUGCCCCGCUUUUUCAGAGCGGCAAUAGUAUAAUCAAGUUUAUCGAGUUGUUCAGAGUCAAUCUUCCGCAGC